rnacentral:tRNA from 1 species
GGGGUUGUGGCUCAGCGGUAGAGCGCUCGCCUAGUAAGCAUGAGGCCCUGGGUUUGAUCCUCAGUACCA